rnacentral:rRNA from 1 species
AUUGAACGCUGGCGGCAGGCUUAACACAUGCAAGUCGAGCGGGGUGAUGGUGCUUGCACUAUCACUUAGCGGCGGACGGGUGAGUAAUGCUUAGGAAUCUGCCUAUUAGUGGGGGACAACAUCUCGAAAGGGAUGCUAAUACCGCAUACGUCCUACGGGAGAAAGCAGGGGAUCACUUGUGACCUUGCGCUAAUAGAUGAGCCUAAGUCGGAUUAGCUAGUUGGUGGGGUAAAGGCCUACCAAGGCGACGAUCUGUAGCGGGUCUGAGAGGAUGAACCGCCACACUGGGACGGAGACACGGCCCAGACUCCUACGGGGGGCAGCAGUGGGGAAUAUUGGACAAUGGGGGGAACCCUGAUCCAGCCAUGCCGCGUGUGUGAAGAAGGCCUUAUGGUUGUAAAGCACUUUAAGCGAGGAGGAGGCUCUUUUGGUUAAUACCCAAGAUGAGUGGACGUUACUCGCAGAAUAAGCACCGGCUAACUCUGUGCCAGCCGCCGCAGUAA